UAAUGUGCUAACAUAAACAAGGGCUCUAUGCUUUGCCCUUGCACUGAUGGCCUUGCUGUGGYGGGGGAGCUGUCUUCUGUGUCCCAUGAGGGAAUGUGCCUCCUUCUCCCUGCCUGAGAUUGAUAAAGAAGCAGAGCAAGGAUUUCAUGAGAAGAAGGAAUUGCUAGGCUUCCUUARCCUAGGAAAGGGUUGCCAGCUGCAUGCCCAAAACCGGUUCCAAGGUAGCCAGACACAGAGAAGUUCCUGCCUGCCUCACAGUGUGCCAAAGCUAAUGAGCUGACUCUUCUGAACAUGACCUGCCAGAGCAACCCACAGCAAGCAACUCCUCACUGCCACACAGACUGGCUGUAGUCAARGCACUGAUAGUAAGGUACUCCUUAAGAUCUUUCAUCAAAAUCUGUACCAUCAUCCUGUACCAUCUGAGAAAAAUCUGCUUACUUGUGAUCUAAUUGCGUUUAAUGGGAGCUUGGACUUUUUCCAGAGUAAAAACAAUUGUUGUUGCUUAAAUAUUUUAUAAACUAGAAU